AACGAACGCUGGCGGCAGGCUUACCACAUGCAAGUCGAACGCCCCGCAAGGGGAUUGGAAGACGGGUGAGUAACGCGUGGGAACGUGCCCUUCCCUUUAGGAUAGCACCGGGAAACUGGGUUUAAUACUGGAUACGCCGUAUUGGGAAAGAUUUAUCGGCGAAGGAUCGGCCCGCGUUGGAUUAGCUAGUUGGCGGUGUAAUAGACCACCAAGGCGACGAUCCAUAGCUGGUCUGAGAGGAUGAUCAGCCACACUGGGACUGAGACACGGCCCAGACUCCUACGGGAGGCAGCAGUGGGGAAUCUUGGACAAUGGGCGCAAGCCUGAUCCAGCCAUGCCGCGUGAGUGAAGAAGGCCUUAGGGUUGUAAAACUCUUUCGCCGGAGAAGAUAAUGACGGUAUCCGGAGAAGAAGCCCCGGCUAACUUCGUGCCAGCCGCCGCCGUAAAAC
rnacentral:rRNA from 1 species